GAGGAAGAUCUGCAGGGUGGGACU
rnacentral:siRNA from 1 species